rnacentral:rRNA from 1 species
UACGAAGGGGGCUAGCGUUGCUCGGAAUCACUGGGCGUAAAGGGUGCGUAGGCGGGUUUUUAAGUCAGAGGUGAAAUCCUGGAGCUCAACUCCAGAACUGCCUUUGAUACUGAAAGUCUUGAGUAUGGGAGAGGUGAGUGGAACUGCGAGUGUAGAGGUGAAAUUCGUAGAUAUUCGCAAGAACACCAGUGGCGAAGGCGGCUCACUGGCCC